AGGAACUCGCAGAAGAGGCAGGAUAGGAUGCAGUGGACACAGCAAUCUUCCUGCGCCUCAAUAGGGAUGUGGGAUGAAGCCGACUUGGAGCUGCCCUUGCUCUUCUUGCUGCUCUGGCUGUUGAUGGAGUGGUGGGACUGCAGCUUACGGUGAGGCUUCUGGGAGCUGGGCAGAGGGCGGAAGACCCCGUUCCCUGUGUUCCCACCUGGAUCCGGCCCUUGUCCAGCCCCGUUCUGCAGCAGGUGGGUGCAGGGGCUGGGGGCCUGCGUGGCUGCUCGCAUCUGGGGCUGGCAUGUCACAGCUUCAGGAGUGCCCAUGAGCUCAGUCCUGGCUGCUGCGGUGCCGUUGGGCAGCGCUGUGCGGGACUCAGCAUCGUCCGAGGGCUUCUCACUCCUGGGGGCCGCAGGUGAAGGGUGUGAGGUCUCACCCACCUCUGGCGGCGGAUCGGUGCGGCGCGGCUCCGGGCGGCUCUGCCGGGACAUCGGCGCUGGGCCCCGCAGCUCCGCGCAGCGCUCAGCCCCGCGCCCGCCCCCUCCGCCCCGCGCGGUCCCC
rnacentral:lncRNA from 1 species